AUUGAACGCUGGCGGCAGGCCUAACACAUGCAAGUCGAGCGAGCGGCGGACACGUGAGAAUUAUGUGUGGGAUGCCCCAGAGCGGGGGGUAACUACAGGAAACGGUCGCUAAUACCGCCUACUAUCGGAUUACACCUAUGGGAUUAGCUAGUAGGUGGGGUAAAGGCUCACCCAGGCGACGAACCCUAGCUGGUCUGAGAGGAUGAUCAGCAACACUGGAACUGAGACACGGCCCAGACUCCUACGGAGGCAGCAUUGGGGAAUAUUGCACAAUGGGCGCAAGCCUGAUGCAGCCAUGCCGCGUGUAUGAAGAAGGCCUUAGGGUUGUAAAGUACUUUCAGUCGGGAGGCGUUACCGACAGAAGAAGCACCGGCUAACUCCGUGCCAGCAGCCGCGGUAAUUC
rnacentral:rRNA from 1 species